AAUCAACGCUGGCGGCGUGCCUCAGACAUGCAAGUCGAACGCGAAAGUCCCUUUCGGGGGACAAGUAGAGUGGCGCACGGGUGAGUAAUACGUAGGUAAUCUACCUUCGGAUGGGGAAUAACAACCGGAAACGGUUGCUAAUACCGCAUAAUGCAGCGGCACCUAAUGGUGACAGUUGUUAAAGCGGGGGGAUCGAAAGACCUCGCGUCUGAAGAGGAGCCUGCGGCGGAUUAGCUAGUUGGAGGGUAACGGCCUACCAAGGCGACGAUCCGUAGCCGGCCUGAGAGGGCGGUCGGCCACACUGACACUGACAUACGGGUCAGACUCCUACGGGAGGCAGCAGUCGGGAAUUUUGGGCAAUGGGCGAAAGCCUGACCCAGCAACGCCGCGUGAAGGAUGAAAUCCCUCGGGAUGUAAACUUCGCAAGAACGGGAAGAAUAAGCGAGAGUAAACACCUUUCGCGAUGACGGUACGUUGUAAGCUCCGGCUAACUCCGUGCCAGCAGCCGCCGUAAG
rnacentral:rRNA from 1 species